CUGUCCUGGGAGCAAGGUUAAUCUCAGCAGCCAGCCCCUCAGCAAAAAGUGGCAAGAAGUGAAUGGAAAACAGAUUGCUGGCUUGGGCUCCAAGAGAUAAGGAGACAUGCCUGGGUUUCGCAGCUCAGACUGUACAGAGCACAGUCUCCCCACAGGCUUGCUGCCUUUCCACACUGGCUACAGGAAAAGAAACACUGAAACACGUGCAGUUCUUGUGCCUGAAUUUUACAGGUUGCUGCUCCAAAGGACUGGACUACAUGGAGGGAAGAGUGAUUUUUGGAUGUACCCCUUAGUGAACAAGUGAGGACACAGGUGCUGCUGGCAAGUCAAUGUGUUGCUACAUUAGAGGCAGCUCAGAAAGAAGCACAAGAACUUCUGUUCCCAAAGUAGAAGAAACUGUUAAUAAAUUGGAAAUCCGAAGUUUUUUCCAGCUGUGGACAUGUAUUGCUGAGAGUGGCCCCUGCAGAAUGGCACAGAGGAUUGUGGGGACCCCUGGGCAAAGCCCAACUGCCACAGACUAAAGCAGGAGAGGGAACAGGGCCUCAGGCUGGAAAAAGAGGCUGCUCUGCACUUAUGGGCAAGGAGAAGCAGGGAGUCCCUCCCCUUCCCUGUCUGUGUUUUUGGCCUAGCAAAAAGGGUAAGCUGCCCCUGAUGAAGCUGUGAUGGAAAGCUAAUCCUCUCCAACAACAGCCCAGUGCUAGGAAACAUCUGUGGAUCUGGGCAGGAGAGAAAGCAAGAACCUCUUCUAAGGGCAUUUGUUUCUCCAUCAGUCUUUUGUGGUGUCUCCCUCAGUCACCUCAUUCCCUGCUUGGUUAUUCCAGCAUUAGUUUGCACAGGCUGUUUGCACAGACAGAACAACAACAGAGGUCUGCUUGGAAAGCCAGCAGAAACCUCUUAGCUUGAGACCACAAAUGCGCAGAAUCCCCAAAGAACAAAAAUGUUUGAACUUGCCUCCCCAAAAGUGUUGUAUUCAUUGACUUGCAAGCAGGGGGAACAGCCAUAGUAAUUUAACCUAGGGAAGAGUGCCAACAACUUAUUUAAUUGCAGAGUUGGUGCCAACAGCCCCACAAUACAACUAUUAAUACAAGUCUGCAGUACAAGACUAAUUCUGCUAACCUUUUGCUGUUGCCUUUUAGUCAGGUCAGUGGCUGCAUCCCUUCUGUGCUGACACUAUUCAACAAACACUGGCAACUGCUUUUAAGCAAACACCAAACGGAGCAGGGCAGGAGGGAGGGGAGAGGGACCAUUGAGAAAAUGAAGAUUCCCCCCAUGACCCCACCUCUCAGUGCCCAAAUGUUUCGCAUUUUUUUCUCCAUUUUAAGUCCCUCUCUUGAAACUGGGAAUGUGUCUUGCCAUGUAUUUGCCCCUGGAAAACAGCCAGAUCUUUGGUCUGGAUUCCAUCAGCUCAUUUCCCAGUUUCUAUGAGACUGCAUUUGAGAAAUGUGGAUCUAUCUCAUUCCACUGGCAAGACUGGUCAUCAAUCAAUGUAUGACAACAUGAGGUCUGACACUGGGGACCAAUCCACUUUUCUAAAUGCGGCGUUCCUUUAAAGAUCAUGUAUUUUUACAGAACAAUUUAAAAAGAAAGCAAUGAUGGAUCCGGCACCACUGCAAGUUUCCAAGGGUAUGAUUAUUCCAGCAAUUAUGUGCCAUUGUAAAAAUCUUAAAA